GGGUCAGUAGCUCAGUGGUAGAGCAGAGGCCUUUUAAGCCUUUGGCCGUGGGUUCGAUCCCCACCUGACCCACCA
rnacentral:tRNA from 2 species